GACGAACGCUGGCGGCGUGCCUAAUACAUGCAAGUAGAACGCUGAAGGAGGAGCUUGCUUCUCCGGAUGAGUUGCGAACGGGUGAGUAACGCGUAGGUAACCUGCCUGGUAGCGGGGGAUAACUAUUGGAAACGAUAGCUAAUACCGCAUAACAGUAGAUAUCGCAUGAUAUCUGCUUGAAAGGUGCAAUUGCAUCACUACCAGAUGGACCUGCGUUGUAUUAGCUAGUUGGUGAGGUAACGGCUCACCAAGGCGACGAUACAUAGCCGACCUGAGAGGGUGAUCGGCCACACUGGGACUGAGACACGGCCCAGACUCCUACGGGAGGCAGCAGUAGGGAAUCUUCGGCAAUGGACGGAAGUCUGACCGAGCAACGCCGCGUGAGUGAAGAAGGGUUUCGGAUCGUAAAGCUCUGUUGUAAGAGAAGAACGAGUGUGAGAGUGGAAAGUUCACACUGUGACGGUAUCUUACCAGAAAGGGACGGCUAACUACGUG
rnacentral:rRNA from 1 species